rnacentral:sRNA from 1 species
UUGUACAAAGUCACCAAGCAAUAAAUGACAUAGUUAAGAUUUUAACACAUUUUGUUGACCCCAGGUCUUCUGACUGCCUGUUUACCAUGCUAGUGUGCCUGGCCUAUUUUAGUUUUCUAAAUAUUAAGAGCCCACAAAUUCUUUAAUUAAAUUGGAGGGAUAUUUAGGAUAGGAUACUUAAUAUUUUUUUUUUUGACAUUUUUGUUGCAGUAUCAUCCAAAAGGUGCUAGGAUAGAUGUUUCUAUCAAUGAGUGUUAUGAUGGCUCCUAUGCAGGAAAUCCUCAGGAUAUUCAUCGCCAACCUGGAUUUGCUUUUAGUCGCAACGGACCAGUUAAGAGAACACCUAUCACACAUAUUCUUGUGUGCAGGCCAAAACGAACAAAAGCAAGCAUGUCUGAAUUUCUUGAAUCUGAAGAUGGGGAAGUAGAACAGCAAAGAACAUAUAGUAGUGGCCACAAUCGUCUGUAUUUCCAUAGUGAUACCUGCUUACCUCUCCGUCCACAAGAAAUGGAAGUAGAUAGUGAAGAUGAAAAGGAUCCUGAAUGGCUAAGAGAAAAAACCAUUACACAAAUUGAAGAGUUUUCUGAUGUUAAUGAAGGAGAGAAAGAAGUGAUGAAACUCUGGAAUCUCCAUGUCAUGAAGCAUGGGUUUAUUGCUGACAAUCAAAUGAAUCAUGCCUGUAUGCUGUUUGUAGAAAAUUAUGGACAGAAAAUAAUUAAGAAGAAUUUAUGUCGAAACUUCAUGCUUCAUCUAGUCAGCAUGCAUGACUUUAAUCUUAUUAGCAUAAUGUCAAUAGAUAAAGCUGUUACCAAGCUCCGUGAAAUGCAGCAAAAAUUAGAAAAGGGGGAAUCUGCUUCCCCUGCAAACGAAGAAAUAACUGAAGAACAAAAUGGGACAGCAAAUGGAUUUAGUGAAAUUAACUCAAAAGAGAAAGCUUUGGAAACAGAUAGUGUCUCAGGGGUUUCAAAACAGAGCAAAAAACAAAAACUCUGAAAAGCUCUAACCCCAUGUUAUGGACAAACACUGAAAUUACAUUUUAGGGAAUUCAUCCUCUAAGAAUUAUGUUUUUGUUUUUAAUCAUAUGUUCCAAACAGGCACUGUUAGAUGAAGUAAAUGAUUUCAACAAGGAUAUUUGUAUCAGGGUUCUACUUCACUUCAUUAUGCAGCAUUACAUGUAUAUCACUUUUAUUGAUGUCAUUAAAACAUUCUGUACUUUAAGCAUGAAAAGCAAUAUUUCAAAGUAUUUUUAAACUCAACAAAUGUCAUCAAAUAUGUUGAAUUGAUCUAGAAAUUAUUUCAUAUAUAAAUUAGAAUUUUUUUGCAUUUAUGACCUGCUGUUUUUCUACUUUGUAAUUGUGAGACAUUU